GCGGUGACUGAUACUGGUAAGGCGGCGAAGGUGGCGGAGAGGGGGGUGGUGGUGAUGCAUAAUGGUAAGGCGGCGAAGGUGGUGGAGGUGAAGGUGAUGGCGGAGGCUUAUAGUGGACUGGUGGUGGUGGAGAUGGUGACGGCGGCGGUGGUGAGGGAGGUGGCGGCAUGUAAUAUACCGGUGGUGGCGGUGGAGGUUCUAUGCACGGAGGUGGUGAUGGUGGCGGUGGAGGUUCUAUGCAUGGAGGUGGUGAUGGUGGCGGUGGAGGCUCAAUACACGGAGGUGGAGGAGGAGGUGAAUUAGGUGGUGGAGGCGGCGAGUACAGUGGAGGUGGGGGAGGUGAUGGAUAGUGAUAUGUAGGUGGUGGCGGUGAAUUAGGUGGCGGAGGUGGUGAAUGAGGUGGUGGAGGCGGCGAAGGUUGAGGUGGUGGUGGUGAUGGGUAAGGAGGCGGCGGAGAAUAAUGUGGGCUGGGUGGUGGGGGAG
rnacentral:lncRNA from 1 species